CGUUGAUAAAGGCAAACCCGGUGAAAGCCGGGGACGCAAAGCUACGGGCCUAAAUUCGUGGUUAGAAUAUGGCAGCCGGGUUGCCAAG
rnacentral:ncRNA from 1 species